AUACCCUAUUAUUUUUAAUGUAAAAAGUGAAGCUGGAGUAUUAAUAGUUAAGAUCUUUAAACUUAAAGAAUUUGGCGGUAUUAUAAUCUGUUUAGAGGAAUCUGUCAGGUGAUCGAUAGUCCGCGUUGAACCUAACUUAUAUUAAAUUCUUGUAUACCGCUGUUUGUGAAGAUAUUUUGAGGUAAUUUUCUUAAUAAAUUAAUAUUUAGAAUUUCAAGUCAAGGUGCAGUUAUUAUGUAAGGUUAAAGAUGGAUUACAAUAGAUUUUAUUUAUACGGAGAUUAGUUUGUAAAAGGGAUUUGAAGGUGGAUUUAAUAGUAAUUUUUAGUAGAUAUAUUAAAGUGAUUAAAAGCUCUAUAAUAUGUACACAUCGCCC
rnacentral:rRNA from 1 species